GAACUUAGCAGAGAUGCUUUGGUGCCUUCGGGAACUCUGAGACAGGUGCUGCAUGGCUGUCGUCAGCUCGUGUUGUGAAAUGUUGGGUUAAGUCCCACAACGAGCGCAACCCUUAUCCUUUGUUGCCAGCGGUCCGGCCGGGAACUCAAAGGAGACUGCCAGUGAUAAACUGGAGGAAGGUGGGGAUGACGUCAAGUCAUCAUGGCCCUUACGAGUAGGGCUACACACGUGCUACAAUGGCGCAUACAAAGAGAAGCGACCUCGCGAGAGCAAGCGGACCUCAUAAAGUGCGUCGUAGUCCGGAUUGGAGUCUGCAACUCGACUCCAUGAAGUCGGAAUCGCUAGUAAUCGUGGAUCAGAAUGCCACGGUGAAUACGUUCCCGGGCCUUGUACACACCGCCCGUCACACCAUGGGAGUGGGUUGCAAAAGAAGUAGGUAGCUUAACCUUCGGGAGGGCGCUUACCACUUUGUGAUUCAUGACUGGGGUGAAGUCGUAACAAGGUAGGCGUAGUGCU
rnacentral:rRNA from 1 species